ensembl:lncRNA
UUUUUUUUUUUUUUUUUUUUGGUGCUUUUAUCUUUCCAUGUUGCUUUGCUGUUUUUUUCUUGGCCAUCUGGAGGAAGACCUUAUAUGUGCAACUCAAGAGGUUUUGUCCUGAUGUAUGUUUGCAUCAAACACGAUAUAACUUAGUAUUAAGUUAUAACACAAUGUAACUUAGUAUUUUAAUAUUUUUGGAUUUUUUUUAAUCUAGAAAAUCUGACAAAACAGAUAUUUCCAUACUACAAUUGCUUUCAACAUACUUUCUGCUAUAACAAUUUCAAUUACAUUCUGACUAAAGCACAGCAAAAAUAAUUGUGAAUCCUUUCAGCAAUAAAGUUUAAAUCAAAGCCAUGGAUAAAAAGUUUUUUGUAAUUGUAGAUGGAAAUCUGAGGUUGACUUUCUGAAUUUUCAUAUCUGUUGGCAUUUUCAGUUGUGUAACUGUAUAAUACAGAGAAAUAUUGAAGCCUUAGAAAACUACAGGUACAACAACAAGCAUCAAGUUCAGCAUGUGUUUGAGCAUCCAAUGUCUCUAUUCACAUUUCUAAUUAUAUCAAAUUUUUUAACAUCACUCUGGGGCAGAGGUAAGCCAUUCAGUUGCAUUAAUAUGUAUGUACUGUGAAUGGAUGAUGUGUAUGUAUACUUACAGCAGUGGAUAAAUGACUAAAUGAAAUGUAGUACUUUGGGGCUUUUUCCCCCUCUUCCUGUCCUCUGGUGUAAUUCUCUGCAGAGUGUUACACAUUUUUAAGGGAAUUAGUUGUUAAAGAAGAUUCUUGCACUGCAUGAGUGUUUCUAAUAAUCUGUACUAAUUGAACUUAUUUCACAUUAUUGUAAUUCUUUUUGAUUUUUCCUUAUGAGCAAAAGAAUCAAGCUGCUUUUAAGCUGGUCUUUGCGUGGUUCAUGCAAGAAAUUAUAGGAUGAGUGGAGUAGCAAGAGCUGAAUGCUGGUACAAGAAGCUUCCUCCAGACCUGUGUUUUUAUGCAUGUCUGUAUAUUACUGUAGAGAAUGAGUAGUCUUUUCAGUAUUUUAUGUAUUAUGUACCUAGUAUUGUUUUUAAAAAUUUAAAGCUAGCUUUCUUGCUUUUGGAUGAAGGUAAGUGCUGCUAACUUUAAGAGUUCUUUUUCCUUACUCAGAAGCUGGAAAUUUUAUUUGAUGGUAUGAUUUGUCCAUUUGAAAUUAAACAGAAUUCUUCCUCCAUGUACUAAUUUUAUUCCAAACCACUGACUUCUAGUGUCUUGUUUGUAACUAUGAAGCUAAAAAUUUUGGUAAUGUAAUGUGCUUCUCCUGAGUCUAUUGGUUAAAGGAAACUUAAGUAUCCAUUUAAAUUUCUCAGGAGAAUAAUGCCUCUUCACGAUUUACUGUCCUUUGGCAGUCACUAGCUGCUGCUGGGGUUGAGGACUGCUGCCCCCAGUUUAAGAAACUGCAGAUGACUGCUGAUGUUAAGGUGAAUGAACUGCACGUGAAUAACUGAAAACACUUCUCCAUGUGCUGGAAAUGAACAUAUUUACUUUUUGUUUAUGUAGAUCUUCCAUGGAAUGACCAUGAAAUAGCUUUACAGAGCUGCAUGACUCAGUGGUGUUAUGCAAGUUUCUCAAGAUGCACCAUUCUGUGCUUCAGAAGAGUCAUUCCCCUCGUGCACCUGCCUGUCACAAAAUAUUGCCUCAUUUUCUAUGAAUUUAAAUAGUUUGCCUGAAAACUUAAAGGCUGUUUGGGAUCACUGGACAUUAUGUAUUCACACUUUUUUUGUACUAUUGGUAUGUAGCUGUUUUGUGUUAGCUGUGUAUGUGUAGGAUCAUAAAAGGUACAAAAAUCAGAAGUCUUUCCCUUUUCUCUUUUCCCCCCUUGCUAUACUAUAUGAGAGACCCACAAGAUAGAAUAUGAUGGGAAUUCUGAAGAGUAAUUUAAACUAUAUUAAGUCAAUACCAUCAGCUCUUCCAUUGGAUCUGAGGACAUUGUCAGUCUCUCUCCACAGUAUGAAGUUGAAAUAUUUAAUGAAUUUCAGAUUAAAAAGAUAUUCAAA